UGGCAAAGAAGAUGUGGUCAAGUCUUGAAUCCUGCACAAUUGAUCCUGCUGGCUCUUCACCUGCUUGCCACUUAAACAGGAAGAUCAAUCCAUGGACAGGCCUGGAAUAGAGCUUGUAAAUGAAAAUGCCUAUCUUCAGUCAAGGGGUUGUGCACAACCAACUUCCGCGUUCAGCAAGAAAGGACAAAGCACUUCCUUCCGGUUCAGGGGCCUCAUGUGCAAAAGGCUCCAGCGCUCCCGCGACCCUUGGAUGGAAUAAGGGGUGCUUUUCAAACUCCAA